AAAAACAUGUCUUAAUGAGAUUAUAUAUUAAGUCUGGCCUGCCCAAUGAAAAUUUUUAAUGGCUGCAGUAAUUUAACUGUACAAAGGUAGCAUAAUAAUUAGUUUUUUAAUUGAGGACUUGAAUGAAAGGUUUUACGAAAUACAGACUUUAUUAUAAUAAUUUAUAUAAUUUUAUUUUUUAGUAAGAAAGCUAAAAUUUUUAUAUUAGACGAGAAGACCCUAUAGAUUUUUAUAAUUUUAUAAAUGAGUAAUUUUAGAAUUUAAUUUAUUUAUUUUAUAAUUUAUUUUAUUGGGGUGAUAAUAAAAUUUAAUAAAUUUUUAUAUUAUAAUUAACAUUUAUUUAUGAUUAGUUGAUCCAUAUUUAAAUUAUGAUUAUUAGAUUUAAUUACCUUAGGGAUAACAGCAUAAUUUAUUUAGAAAGUUCUUAUUGAUAAAUGAGUUUAUGACCUCGAUGUUGGAUUAAGGUUUGUUUUGGGAGUAGAAAUUCAAUAAUUAAGUCUGUUCGACUUAUAAAAUCUUACAUGAUCUGAGCUCAA
rnacentral:rRNA from 1 species